GCUCCGUUCGUCUAGUGGCUAGGAUCUCGCUCUUUCAAAGCGAGGAACAGGGAUCGAAACCCUGACGGAGCGCCA
rnacentral:tRNA from 1 species